UAACCCAGAUACUACUUGUCAGUGAGCACUGCACUAAGGUAUGAAGGUGUAACAUGCACAAGAUAGCUACUAGCUUUCCGGAUCCACGUCAAAAUAUCAUUUUGCCUAUCGAUUUAAUAUCCAACAGAAAAACAUAACUGCAGCUGACACCCACGGCAAUCAUGAGCAGGAAACCAACAGCUGCAUAUCUGAAACGGAAGGAAAAAAAUGAAGAAAGCUUAAAGUCAUCAGGAACAGCAUUUAUUGGACAGGUUAUAAAGUUUUGGAAUAGUUCCCUGUGGGUGGGAGUUGACAGAAUAGAAUAUUACGUGGAAAAGUUGCUUCACAGCAUCUUUUCUUAGGUCACAUUCAUGAUGUCCGUCUUCUUCCAAAUGACUUCUUUGAGUCUCAAGCGGUGAAGGACGAAUUAGAAACAAGAUUUCAAAUGGCAUUCCACAAUUACAAGUCUCCACCCCGUCAGACUCCAUUUUCCAUUCUUCUGACUUUGGCUGUCAGGAUUUGUGGUCAUGAGAACGAAGAUAAAAUACAAGAAAAUCUUCUAAGUUUCCUGGAAGCAUUGAAAUUGCCCCCCAAAAUAAAAGGCGAGAGUAACUACACCAACUACUACACUCUGGAGGCUACUGUCAUAGCUGUGUGCUACAACGAAACCCCUGGAGUCCUCAGACCAGUGAAGUACUAUGGAGCAUCCCUGUCCUGCAGAGGGGAGAGAGCAAGGAGAAUUAUGAUCAAUCAGUCAUGUCUAAACGUGUGGCAUAACUAUGUGUCUUAUGCAGUGUUGGCAUUCAGACAUGAGCAGAGAAACGGUAUCAUCUUCCUGGCACCGUAAAAUGCAGAGCAUUCUACAGGAAUCACAAGACCAAUUGUUAUGAAGCCCGAAGGCCGUGCAAGAACUGUGGGGAUCUUUUCUCUCUCUCAAACCCUGAUACGGUCAGAAAGGACUUUCCCUACGGAAACUGUGCCGAAACGGAGUGCCUGAGUAAACUUAUUUCCAAAGAUAGGGAAGUCCGGAGCAACAUGAUUUUGGGAAUCAACUACACAAGGGAAAACCGGAGAGGUCUUAGAGAAAAAGCAAAAACAGCUUUGGGACAGAGUCUUAUGGCAUAGGUCUACUUAGCACCUCUGAACAGUGUGCAUUUGGCCGUCAUUUUCAAACCAACUGCAAACUGUGACUGUGUAAACUUCUAUUAUGUGAUCAGGAUGUCUGCAGCAAUAUGAGUUUUGUACACUACACAAGAGAAAAUGUCUUAGAAAAAUGACAGAAAACGCUUUUAAACAUUUAGGUUUUGUUUCACACAGGUUUUAUACAUGGUGUUGUUGCUGUGUUUGACUUGGAAGAUGCCUCUGAAACUACAAGAACAAUGGUGUUCUUUAAUCACUCAACUGUGAUAAAGGCAACUGUGCCAGAGUCAUAAUGCACAAGUAAAUGGUUUCUGUCACUGAGAGUUGUGAAUUACAGCUCGGACAAACAAUACAAUUAUUACCACUAAUAACAGACAUAAAAAGCAGCCACCUUGAGAAUACAGUUGUUUUACUUUUUGGUUUGGUCUUUGUGUUUGGUUGUUUACUUUUAAUUUAUUUAUUUUGGGUGAUGUUUAAUUGUAAUAAGCUAGCAACUUUGUCCCUUGUUAAAUAGUCUGCCAUGUGCUUUGUGUCACAGUGGAAAAUGAAUAGAAUUAAAACGAACACAUUUCUGAUGUGACAGGAAACUGCAGAAAGGGUGUGACACUGAACUUGUUUGAAUGUAUUCAGUGAAACCCCAGCUGAAAGAGUGGACUAAAACAACAGACAGCACAAUGAAUAUCGAACAUUGUGUUUCUUUAUGACACAAACUUAUCUUGUAAAUAUUUUGAAUCCAUCAAUAAAUGAGAAUUGUUCAAAGUUG